UACGAGGGGGCAAGCGUUGUUCGGAAUUAUUGGGCGUAAAGCGCGCGUAGGCGGCUUUGUAAGUUAGAGGUGAAAGCCCGGGGCUCAACUCCGGAAUUGCCUUUAAGACUGCAUCGCUAGAAUUGUGGAGAGGUAAGUGGAAUUCCGAGUGUAGAGGUGAAAUUCGUAGAUAUUCGGAAGAACACCAGUGGCGAAGGCGACUUACUGGACACAUAUUGACGCUGAGGUGCGAAAGCGUGGGAGAC
rnacentral:rRNA from 1 species